AAGUGACGGUACCUGCAGAAGAAGCACCGGCUAACUACGUGCCAGCAGCCGCGGUAAUACGUAGGGUGCAAGCGUUGUCCGGAAUUAUUGGGCGUAAAGAGCUCGUAGGCGGCCUGUCACGUCGGAUGUGAAAGCCCGGGGCUUAACCCCGGGUCUGCAUUCGAUACGGGCAGGCUAGAGUUCGGUAGGGGAGAUCGGAAUUCCUGGUGUAGCGGUGAAAUGCGCAGAUAUCAGGAGGAACACCGGUGGCGAAGGCGGAUCUCUGGGCCGAUACUGACGCUGAGGAGCGAAAGCGUGGGGAGCGAACAGGAUUAGAUACCCUGGUAGUCCACGCCGUAAACGUUGGGAACUAGGUGU
rnacentral:rRNA from 1 species